AUUGAACGCUGGCGGCAGGCCUAACACAUGCAAGUCGAGCGGAUGAAGGGAGCUUGCUCCUGGAUUCAGCGGCGGACGGGUGAGGAAUGCCUAGGAAUCUGCCUGGUAGUGGGGGAUAACGUCCGGAAACGGGCGCUAAUACCGCAUACGUCCUGAGGGAGAAAGGGGGGGAUCGUCGGACCUCACGCUAUCAGAUGAGCCUAGGUCGGAUUAGCUAGUUGGUGGGGUAAAGGCCUACCAAGGCGACGAUCCGUAACUGGUCUGAGAGGAUGAUCAGUCACACUGGAACUGAGACACGGUCCAGACUCCUACGGGAGGCAGCAGUGGGGAAUAUUGGACAAUGGGCGAAAGCCUGAUCCAGCCAUGCCGCGUGUGUGAAGAAGGUCUUCGGAUUGUAAAGCACUUUAAGUUGGGAGGAAGGGCAGUAAGUUAAUACCUUGCUGUUUUGACGUUACCAACAGAAUAAGCACCGGCUAACUUCGUG
rnacentral:rRNA from 1 species